rnacentral:lncRNA from 10 species
AGGCCCCUGCAGCAGCAGCGGCGUGGUCAGAGCGAGCUUCGGAGAAGCAGUGGUGGGUUCCAUGUGAUGGUGGAGUAGGAGGCAGGUCUCCGCGGCUAGUCACCCUGCUGUGGAAUAGAAGGCCAGAAUUGAUCAGUCUCAUCUGAGAGUAACUUUGUACCCAUCACUGAUUCCUUCUGAGACUGCCUCCACUUCCCCAGCAGCCUCUGGUUUCUUCAUGUGGCUGCAGAUGGCAGGAUUUCCCAAAGGUUUCUGGCUGAAACAUAUUCCGUGGUGUAUCUGUACAGCAGUUUCCUCAUCCCUGCAGCUGUGUUUGAACAGGUCAUUUACCAUGCUGUCCUCCAGGUUCAACAGUAUGGCUCCAAAGGAUGAAAUUUCAUUCUGAUUUUCUGGCUGAAGACUAUUCUCUUUGUGUAUGUCCACCACAGUUACUUUAUCCCUUCAUCUGUGGAUGGGCAG